GCUCCCAUCGUCUAACGGUUAGGACGUGGGCCUUUCAAGCCCAAAAUAGGGGUUCGAUUCCCCUUGGGAGCG
rnacentral:tRNA from 1 species